rnacentral:rRNA from 1 species
AUUGAACGCUGGCGGCAGGCCUAACACAUGCAAGUCGAGCGAGCGGCGGACGGGUGAGUAAUGUAUGGGGACUGCCCGAUAGAGGGGGAUAACCACUGGAAACGGUGGCUAAUACCGCAUACUAUCGGAUAACCCAUAUGGGAUUAGCUAGUAGGUGGGGUAAAGGGUCACCUAGGCGACGAUCUCUAGCUGGUCUGAGAGGAUGACCGGCCGCACUGGGGCUGGGGCACGGCCCGGACUCCUGCGGAGGCAGCAUUGGGGAAUAUUGCACAAUGAGCGCGAGCCUGAUGCAGCCAUGCCGCGUAUAUGAAGAAGGCCUUAGGGUUGUAAAGUACUUUCAGCGGGGAGGCGUUACCCGGAGAAGAAGCACCGGCUAACUCCGUGCCAGCAGCCGCGGUAAUUC